GUCUCAUCCCAGCUAAGCGCCCCAUUAUCUUAAGCAGUCACUCUGGGAACUCCUGAUGCAAGGAGUCAAUAGAUCAUACUUGAAGAAACUGUUCUCACCUCCACCUUCUGAAGCCCCCUGUUGACUGGACCGUUCUGUGUGGAUGCAGAGGUGGUGUGUUUUUCCCUAUAUGCGCUCUAGCUGAUGAGGACGCUGCCUACUUUGCAGAUGGAUGUGAAGAACACGAGAUAAAAACUCCAGAAAAUAUAUUUAAGCACUACACUCUGUUAUUAUUAUAUGCAAAUAAAACUAAGUAUAUAUACUCAA